UGCUAGUCCGCUCAGGCGUAUGCGAAGGUGUGGUGGUGGCAAACGCGAAAUCGAAAAAAGAAGAUGAAGUAUAGCAAGCAAGCCAGCAGCAGUAUCAGCAACAACAACAGCGACAGCAACAACAACCACAGCGAGAAACGACAUUCGAGUAUAGAGACACAGAAAACUGGUCUCUCGCUCGUCGACAAGGGCGGCAGUGCCAAAAGUAGCGGGCAGGGUGGAUGACAGCGCGACGCACACACACAUGCAGAGGCGCACACUCUUAGAUACACACAUGCAUACAUACAUACAUACAUGUGGAUUGAUGAAUGCGCCACAACGGGCGCGAAAGCAAAAGCAAAUACAAUACACAUGCCCGCCAGCUGUGUAGCCUCGUUUUUUUUUUUUCUUCUUUUUUGUUCACGUACAUUUUUUCUUUCGUUCGCACACACCCCCAAAGCGCACACAACAAAACGCUGCAAACAGCGAGUCGUGGCGCUAUUGCAGUCGCACUCGCACCCAAUGGCUGAGGCAUAUGCUUCGCUAUUGGCAUCGCACUCACACACCCGCAUUUGUUAUAGAGAAAUAUUUCGCUGUACGUGUUAUCUGUGCGUGUGUAUGUGUGGUUAAACUCGUUUUCCUCACCCAGCUGCCUGCCAACCCUGCUAAGGCUAACACACACAGUCACCAAUACACAUGCGCGCUGCUGCUUCAUUUUGUUUCGGCAGAGUUGCCGCCGUCUGCGCGCGUUUCAGUCUAAAAUACAACUUGGAAGCGCACGGUCUGUGUUUUGUUUGCUCGCUCGCGCCGAUCUGUCCAAACCGCUAGUCGAGCUAAAAGAUACAACGCGUCGCGCUUCGUACACACAGAUACUCACUCAUACAUGCAUGCCGUAUAUGCAAACGCUCAUGUAUGCAUCAAGACUAACUAAAUCCGCAAAUUAACAACUGGAUUUUUUACAAUAUUUUUUUAGUGUUGCAAGUUCAAGUUAAACAAAUUCCACAAGGAUACAAGAUACAUGCUGCAAAGUGAAAAGUUAUGCUGCCGGCGUCGCAGUCGCAGUCGCAGCCGCUGCCAAAGCGAGCAGUGAAAUUGUGUGCCGCCUAACAAAAAAUAUGUUGCUAGAGUUGUCGCCGCCGCCGCGUUUUAUGUAAGCUGAGACACACAACAAUAGUUAAAGCCUAAUACCCCCCUUACCCCAUACACCCUGCACGGGCGCCCACGCACAUCACGUGUACAGGUGCUUGGACUAUGCAGCAUAAUACAUAUAAAAAAGAAAACAAAAAUGAAUAAACUGUGAAAUAAAGCCAGGCAUUGCAUUAAUUCUGAGCCAACGUCAACGUUGACGUCGACGCAGCCGCUGCAGCGAGUGGACCAAAUUAAAAACAGCAACAACAUAAAAGAAAAUUACACAAACGCAGUAGAAGCAGCAAUAUGCUGCCAACAACAAUAAAAA